rfam:Agrilus planipennis Contig11794, whole genome shotgun sequence.
AGCUUAGUGGUCAGAGCAUUGGUGCGUAAAGCCAAAGGUCCCGGGUUCGAUUCCCGG